UUAGUUAGAAAAAACAUCAUAAUUACUUGUCGAGAAGGAACAACAAUGCCGACACUGUUCUGAAACACAAACAAUCUUCGCUCUAAGUUGGUAGCUUCUUCCAUUUUACCGAUUAGGUUCCCGAUUCAAUUUCCGAUUAGGUCAAAAUCGACGCCAUGGAAGGUAACAAAGACGAAGCUUUACGAUGCAUUCAAAUCGCAGAAGAAGCAAUCUCAUCAGGUAACAAAUCUCGCGCUCUCAAAUUCAUCAAAAUCGCUCAACGCCUCAACCACGAUUUACCACUCGAUUCCCUCUUCGCCAAAUGCGAACACCUUGAUUCUCAGUCCACCGCUUCUUCAUCCGGCGUCGGUGCAUCGCCGGCGAAGGAUAGACCAGGAAGAAUCAACAAAAACGAUGGAUUGAAUGGUGAGAAGAAUUACACGGAGGAGAAUGUUAAGUUGAUUAGGGAAAUUAAAGGGAAAAGUGAUUAUUAUUCGAUUUUAGGGUUAGAGAAGAGUUGUUCUGUUGAAGAGAUUAGGAAAGCUUAUAGGAAAUUGUCUUUGAAAGUUCAUCCUGAUAAGAAUAAAGCACCGGGUUCCGAAGAUGCGUUUAAGAAAGUUUCUAAGGCUUUUAAGUGUUUGAGUGAUGAUGGGACUAGAAGGGAUUAUGAUCAAGGAGGGUUAGUUGAUGAAUUUGAUUCUGGUUAUGGUCAGAAUCAUAGUUUUAGGAGAAGGAGGAGACGGGCUGCGACGAGUCAUGAUAUUUUCGAAGAUGAAUUUGAUCCCGAUGAGAUAUUUAGAGCGUUCUUUGGUCAAUCGGAUGUGUUUGGGGGGAGGAGGAAUCAUGUUUAUAGGACACAUGGCGGUGGUGGAAUGGGUCAUCAUCAUCAUCAUCAGAGACCUGAGGUUCAGGGUGGAGGAGGACAUCAUCUUAUGUUGUUGAUUCAGCUUCUGCCGUUGUUGAUUAUUGUUUUGCUUGCUUACUUGCCCUUUUCGGAGCCUGAAUAUUCGUUGCACAAGAAUCAGUCCUACCAGAUUCGGAAGGUUACUGAGGAUUAUGGGGUUGAGUUUUUCGUGAAAUCUCAGGCGUUUGACGUUAAUUAUCCGAUUGGAAGUUUGGCUCGCGAGACCAUUGAGGAUACUGUUAUUAAGGAUUAUAGGAAUAUGCUUCGUCGUUAUUGUCAACUGGAGAUUCAGAGGCGUACUUGGAAUAGGCAUUUGCCUAUUCCUCACUGUGAUAAGCUAAAAAACUUUGGCGUUGUAGCUUGAAGGUAACCCUUUAUUUCGGUGAAGGAUGUGUAAUAUGUUUCAUGCACUCAGUUUUAUGUUGUUUACUAUCGAUGGAACGUCUUUUAAUGGAUUGAAAUACUUUUACGUUUAUUUUCACUGCCUUUUGUUGGAUGCUGAUCAUGUUGAACUGAAAACAGUUUUAAAUUAAUAAAACCCUUUAUCCCGUGUUAUAUUACUGCUCGAUAAAUUAAUGGGGAGUGUGCAGUAAGUUUUCUAUGGAUGAGAUAAGAGAAAUCACACCGGUGCUUUCUGUACCAAGGUUUCAGAUAUAUUUAUACACUUACUGGAUGUGGUUACUUUUCUCGUUGACAUGACAGUUGUAUUUGUAUCCCACUAAAUACAACUCUAAUUAGGUUAUGCCAGUGAAAGUGGUUGUCAAAUUUAGCUCUCUAUAGCGAAGUUUCAUUUGACAAUCUAGAUUUUGUAAAGGUGAAUUGCUCAAGUGAGUUUUACUCUUCAUAUUGACAUAUCUCCUACAACAACGGCAUUCUCAUUUCUUCAUGCAGAUCUGAUUUGUUUAUUUAAAUAUUAGUAAAUGUUUAAUGUCAUGUUCCGGUAAUUUGCUUCUGUUAAGAUAUUAGGAACUCUUGGGGUAUAUCUUUGCUUUCUGUUAGGAUAUUAGGGGGUAUGUUAAUUUGCUUUCUGUAAGGAUGUUAGGACAACUCAUUUAUACUCUUUUUUAAUAUUAUUUUUUAAGUUAUGUUAUUUUUGAAUUCUGUUUUAUAAUUUUGUAGUUAUGUGGUUGCAACUUAUGCUAUUUUAUAUCGAUCGGUUUCAUUGUUGUUCACUUUUUUGUAUUUUAUUUUUAUUUCUGAUGCUUUUUUGUGUCAACUUAUAUAUGGGACAACACUGGUUUAAGAGAGGGCAAGAGGUAGGGCUGAAGUGGAGGUACUGGGGCUAUCCCAAAAGCAAGGGGGGAAGAAUCAAGAAUUCUGCAAAGGGGGUCUGACUUUAAGACAGAGAGUUAAACUGGGAAAUUAGUUAUUGGACUCUUGAAGACAGAGAGUUAAAUGGGGAAAUUAAUCAAACAAGUGUACUUUUAGAUUGACCCAAGUCUGAAUAGAAAGGGGGGCCCCAACACAAUCAUGCCUCAGCAAUAGUAGAAUGGGAUUGCUACAUAGAUGAUCACUCAAUGGCAGCCCUUAAAGAUAGAUCUUGGAUGCACUAUUGAGUUGAGCAUGAAGAGAUCUUGGAUGAAUUGCACAUUAAUUUCAGAGAUAUGUUUAUGAUAUUUUCAGUUUUAAAUUCGAGGAUAAGGUUGAAUUUCAGGGUUGAGGUAUUGUAAGGAAAGAACAGAAGAGGAUGCAAAAGUAGUUAGGGAAGCUAGAUGGGGGGGUUAAUUAGUAACAGUGAUCGGGGGAAUGCAGGGGAAGAAUGAUCAUUUCGUACAUUUUAUGGCUAGUGAGGAAAAGUAAUUAUCAUCUGAAGGAAAAACCUUUGGGGGGAAUUAUAUAUCUCUAUUUUUUUGUUCAAUUCCCAGCAAUAGACUUGCUAUAUCCUUUUGGUUCUUUCCAUCUUUGUUUCCUUAUUGGUUCUUUCCAUCUUUGUUUCCUUACAAUUUCUUGGGGUUCGUAACACCUUACCUAUAGAACUUUACCUAAUUCUUUUUCUCCCUGUCUGUUAAUUUGCCAUUGAAAUCCUACUUUGUCACCAACAUGCUCUGCUUUGUUUUGAACUUUUGUUGGGAUUCCUGUACAAGCCAUGGCAAUUGCAAAUUCUCAACCCUGUCCCAAAUGAAAAUUAAAAGAUUAAAUGAACAUUCUCAAUAUAUAUUAUGAGUUUAGAAAAGUAUUGCUAGGGAAAAAGGAUAUCUGAUAGGAAGAAUAAAGGGGAGACAAACAAAACUAGCAUAUUUCAUCAGCUCUUAAGUUACAUAGUUUCAAUUGUACAUGUAAUAUAUAUGUGAUUCAGUGUUGGGAAGUAAAGAACCGUCAAUAAAGUAAACGUGGUGUCACAAAGAUGAGAAUGUUACGAUAGACGAGUAGUUACAAAGGACAAGAUAAGAUUAUAAAUACAAUAUUUGAGAGGGCAUUGAGAUGGUUCCCGUGGUAGAAAAAUGGCAGAGUCUCGUCUCUGGGAUCCUAAUAGAUAGGGAGAGACCAAGAAAAUUUAUAGGCCAAACUGCCAAAUCAUUGAGAGAAGAUGAGCAAAAGUGACUUCACGGAUAUCGUGUGCUUGGCUUGAGGAGUUUUGUAUCAAUUGCUCAGCUUUAUUCUUCAGGAUGGAUAAUAGGAGUAACCCUUGUCGCAAGCGAAAUGCUACAUUAGUAUCUGGCUAUCUGCCAGUCAAGUGCCAUGCUGACCUUGCUGUGAUGUAUUUUUGAUAAAUAUGCAUAAAAAAUGUGUUUCUUAUUGUUGAAGGGAUAUUUGGAUGGGAUUAUCUGUUAUGCUAUAACGGGUUACCGAUUGUGGAGAAGAUGACAUCAAAUAAUUGAACAAAUCGUGAGUAUCAGUAGCAAGGUUCUUGCAAGCUCGUGAGUCGGGCUUAUACUGUAAUAUUUUUGAGGGGAACAACUUAAAUACAGUUGACAUAUGCUUAUUACUCGAUUGAAAACAAAAAUUUGAAAGCAAUCUAUUGUUACAUUCAAAUGAAUGAAUAUUCCUUCUUGUGAGGAAGCCAUACAAUCAUUGAAUUGAAGUUGAUUUUUGACAUA